GACGAACCGUGCAAACGUUAUUCGGAAUCACUGGGCAUAAAGGGCGCGUAGGCGGCUCCAAAAGUCAGGGGUGAAAUCCGGCAGCUUAACUGUCGCAGUGCCUUUGAUACUGUGGAGCUAGAGGGAUGUAGGGGUCUGUGGAACUUCCGGUGGAGCGGUGAAAUGCGUUGAUAUCGUAAGGAAGACCAGUGGCGAAGGCGGGUCUCUGGACAGUUCCUGACACUGAGACACGAAGGCCAGGGGAGCAAACGGG
rnacentral:rRNA from 1 species